UACGAAGGGGGCUAGCGUUGCUCGGAAUUACUGGGCGUAAAGCGCACGUAGGCGGGUUCUUAAGUCGGUGGUGAAAUCCUGGAGCUCAACUCCAGAACUGCCUUCGAAACUGGGAAUCUUGAGUCCGGGAGAGGUGGAGUGGAACUGCGAGUGUAGAGGUGAAAUUCGUAGAUAUUCGCAAGAACACCAGUGGCGAAGGCGGACUCACUGGCCCGGUACUGACGCUGAGGUGCGAAAGCGUGGGGAGCAAAGCAGGG
rnacentral:rRNA from 1 species